CCAAUGAAUGCCUUCAUUGGCCCAGUGACGUAAUUUCUACCUCCUCAGCAUGCAUUAAGCCAGCUAGCUAUCCCUUCACUCCCAAAUGCAUCUUCCCCGAAUAACGCAACUUACAGAACAGAUUUGACAAGAUAUAAUCAUGUGGGUCAAGUUACAGGAGCCUUUAUAGUCAUGGUGUCGCCAACUUUUAAACUAAAUUAAAAAUGGCGGAAUUACUGUUAGAUUUAAUAUAUUGCUCCAAGAGACUUUUUUUGUAGAGCUUUGCCUUUUGCAUGUACAACAUAAAUGUUCAUAGAUCUAGGUGAAAUGUACAAAUGUGACUGCUUUGUUAAUAAUUUAUAGGGAGCAUGAGUGAGCCAUUUUGUAAAAAUUCCACAAUAAAUUCAUAAAAUAUUGGUGAGUUUGCCAAGCCUGA